rnacentral:rRNA from 1 species
UACGAAGGGGACUAGCGUUGUUCGGAAUCACUGGGCGUAAAGCGCACGUAGGCGGAUGUGUCAGUCAGGGGUGAAAUCCCGGGGCUCAACCCCCGGAACUGCCCUUGAAACUGCAGUGCUAGAAUUCUGGAGAGGCGAGUGGAAUUCCGAGUGUAGAGGUGAAAUUCGUAGAUAUUCGGAAGAACACCAGUGGCGAAGGCGACUCGCUGGACAGACAUUGACGCUGAGGUGCGAAAGCGUGGGGAGCAAACAGG